UACGGAGGGUGCAAGCGUUAUCCGGAUUCACUGGGCUUAAAGGGUGCGUAGGUGGGCAGGUAAGUCAGUGGUGAAAUCUCCGAGCUUAACUUGGAAACUGCCGUUGAUACUAUCUGCCUUGAAUAUUGUGGAGGUGAGCGGAAUAUGUCAUGUAGCGGUGAAAUGCUUAGAUAUGACAUAGAACACCAAUUGCGAAGGCAGCUCGCUACACAUAUAUUGACUCUGAGGCACGAAAGCGUGGGGAUCAAACAGG
rnacentral:rRNA from 1 species